AUGCACUGUGUUUUAACCCACGGUUGUGCAGUGGUGCAAAUCUCUAAAAGUCUUUUUAACAUGCUUAUCAUUUGCAGUGACCCCAUGACAAUCUGCAGUACUUCAGCACUACGUCCUGGAUGCAAAAAUAGCAACUGUAAACAGGAAGUGCCUGUUGACCUUGUUUGCGUAUGCGUGCAGUUGAGGCCUCGCGUACUUCUGUUCAACUUUAACGGAUACAGUUUCAAGAUAAAGGACAUGUCUGCUGAAAAGAAGCCCAAAAAGAAGAAGCCCGAGUCGACUCCAGCAGAGACCAACGGGAUCGAAGCCAAAUCCAAAAAGACCAAGAGCAAGAAGAGCGAUGAUCUGUCGGCCGAGAGCGACCCGGUCACUCAGAGUACGGCAGAGACCUCAUGUCCUGAUGUUACAUCACAGCGCUUCUGUCAGUCUGUUUACACAACUCUCACAAACCUCCCUCACAGAUGGAGAGAAGGUGAAGAAGAAGAAACUGGAGAAGGACAAAGAAUCAACAGAAAAGGAGAAGGAAAUCAAAAAGAAAGCGAAAAGCGCUCCAAAGAAGAAGAAGAGUAAGUGACCCAGUGUUUUUUUAGUGUCAUUUGAUUUGUGACCCUGAAGCACAAAAGCAGUCUUAAGUCUCUGGGGUAUAUUUGUAGCAAUAGCCAAAAAUACAUUGUAUGGGUCAAAAUUGUAGAUUUUUCUUUCAUGCCAAAAAUCAUUAGGAUAUUAAGUAAAGAUCAUGUUCAUGAAGAUAUUUUGUAAAUUUCCUACCGUAAAUACAUCAACACUUAAUUUUUGAUUAGUAAUAUACAUUGCUAAGAACAACUUUAUUCGGACAACUUUAAAGGCGAUUUUCUCAUUAUUUACAUUUUCAAAUAGUUGUAUUUCGGCCAAAUAUUGUCCGAUCCUAUCAAACCAUAUAUCAAUGGAAAGAUGAUUUACUCAGCUUUCAGAUAAUGUAUAAAUCCCUCUUUUUUUUUUUUAAUUGACCCUUAUGACUGGUUUUGUGGUCUAGGGUCACAUUUAUAUUAUUUAUAUUAUUAUAUUAAAUGAUGUUUGUUAUUUAUUUAUAUUAUAUAUUAUUAGAUUUUGUUUUUAUAUUUUUAGUUUUCAUUUUAACUUUAGCUUACGUUUUAAAAAAUAAUAAUAAUCAUAAAUAAAUAAUCAUUUAAAAAUUUGAAAUGUCUCUUC
ensembl:lncRNA